CUCAUCCAGAGUAGUUGAGGGAACGGCCCGAUGAUACUACAGCAACCGUUCAAACGGUGCUAAUUCCGACAGUGAUUGACUGACAGAUGAGG
rnacentral:ncRNA from 1 species